GGGCCCUUAGCUCAGUUGGAUAGAGCGUCGGACUACGAAUCCGAAGGUCGCAGGUUCGAAUCCUGCAGGGCCCGCCA
rnacentral:tRNA from 1 species